rnacentral:rRNA from 1 species
AGCAGCCGCCGCGGAAUACGUAGGGUGCGAGCGUUAAUCGGAAUUACUGGGCGUAAAGCGUGCGCAGGCGGUUGUGUAAGACAGGUGUGAAAUCCCCGGGCUUAACCUGGGAACUGCGCUUGUGACUGCACAGCUAGAGUAUGGCAGAGGGGGGUGGAAUUCCACGUGUAGCAGUGAAAUGCGUAGAGAUGUGGAGGAACACCGAUGGCGAAGGCAGCCCCCUGGCCUAACACUGACGCUGAGGCGCGAAAGCGUGGGGAGCAAACAGGAUUAGAUACCCGUGUAGUCCCUGUCUCUUAUACA